rnacentral:lncRNA from 1 species
GCAUUAUCAUGCGCACCAGGACCACAUUCAUAUGUACUCCAAGGGACUCAUCAUGGUAAAUUUCAUUCACCUAGAAACAAAGCAGAUGAUUGUUAAAAGAAAGGUAACACAUCAAUGAUUAUGAGAGGCACAGCAUUUCAGGGACCAGCCAUAUAAUCACAAGUACUAGAAUCAAGUCACUUUUUUUUUUUAAUUUGGUUUAAGCUGAACCCUGAAAUUACUUACCUUUAGCUUUGGAACAAUUCUCCGAUAUGUGAAUUACUGAUUUUGUAAACCCCACAGUACCAUGAACGUGGAGACUAUGCCUUCAAAGGGCUUCACUAAACUAUUGUUGUGUUAGAGAGAGUCCAAUGUGCUAUAACCCGCAAUUCAUCAAAAGCAACCACAUGUGGGUGGUGACUCUGGCAAGAGUCUACUAGCUGUGUGGAGUCACAGCCAUGUAGAGAGAAUCAGACAGCAGGCAUUUGUCUGGGUCCUCCUGUCACCACCACGGGUCCUAAUCUGGUUGGGAGAGCUCAUGGAGACGGAGCUGGUGAGCAGGAGCUGUGGUGGUUUAUCUGCAGGCCAGUGAGUGGUAGCCUGAAGUGUGCAGCUGAGACGACGAUGAUUUAGAAGUUCUACAGUGUGAGAAGUCCUUAGAUAUUUGAGUUACCAAGGUCCUGUAUCAGUGUAUAUUAGAUGAAUAUCACCCUUGGGUAUAGCUCAGAAAAGCAAAGUCGGGUCAUUCCUUUUUAUUUAAUUUCUAAAGUUGGGCUGACAUUUCUAAAAGUGAUUUGGCAUGCUUUAAAAUCAUAAUCUCAGCAACCUCAAAAUCACAGUCCAACACACAUUUAUACAGAUGAGGAAGGUGAAGACAGUAGAGAUUAAUUGAUAUGCAAAAGCCACAGUCAACUGUCGGCAGAUAUGAAUCUAAGGUGAACCAUCAUUGUGUCUUCUGAUUAAGACAGUGCAAAAGAAGUGUGAAAAAAAAGAUUGCUUAUUAAGUUGGCAAAUGUUAGCAGGAAUGGGAGAGGUGGAGUUAUCUGAUUAGAUUAGAAAAAUUGUUAGCUGUUCCCAUGGAUAGGGACCCAACAUUUGUCACAAUAACUAAAAGAGGGGUGGAAAACUAACUGCAAUUUGACUUGAAAUCCAGGAGACUUGGACAGUAAGCACCGCAAAUUGAAAACCCACAGAGAAAAGAUAACCAUAAUCUCAUAGAAAGGGGCUUUAAAAAGAAAUACAACUCAAGAAUGAUAGAAUGUUCUAAAAACAAUCCCACAAAAUUCAUGAAUCAUAAAAUUGCAAAUUACCACACUGACCAAGAAACAGACUAAGAUAUCUCAACUGAAAUAUUUCAAGAAUCUAAUGGUACUUGCCAGAACACCUUAAAAAAAUGAAGGCCUUAAAUAUAGACUAAAGGCAUACUUACUAAAUUCAGAUGGAACGAAAAAGAAGACAGCUAAGAUGGAGGUAAAAAAAAAAAACCUACAGAAACUAGUAUAUGCUAAAGAAGGCAAAGUACAGUUUGACAAGAAAAGAUGUAGAAUCCUCUCACACAGAAAAAUGCAUUGACAUAUACACACAUACAUUUUACAAUUGCAUAUACACACAUAGAAUGCUAAGACCGAUUUAAUCCCUGUUCAAGAUAAACCAAGGUAAAAAAAAAAAAAAUGUGCUCUUGCUGGGCACAGGUGUGCAGGCAGGUAACCCAGGGGCAAGCUAUCCCCUCUGGAGGCCAGGGUGUACCUAAAGUAUUGAGUACAUUUUAUCUAUGAUAUCUUGUAAAAGAGAUGUUGACAAACAUGAGUAUAUCUAGAGAAGAAAAAAAAGCAAGAAACCUAGAAAAUGUGUCACAUAAAGAAUGGAAGAUGUAAUGGCCAAAAGCAGAACACCAAACACUAAUGGUCUCUCGGCUGAUAUCUUGGUUCAGCCCCUUAUUGUGGUGUGGUCUCUAUCUUUUUGAGUCUCAAUAAAAUGGGCAUAAUAAGAAUACUAUCACACUGGGCUAGUGCAAGAAUUAAGAGAUUUAACUCAUGCAAACAUAUUGCUCAAAAAAUUUGAGAGGUAAGGAGAGAGGGACAUUAAGGAACAGAAGAAUACGGGAAACAGAAAAGAAAAACUUAGAAAGAAGACUUAAUAGCUGCCAUAUGAAAAAAGCCUUCAAUUUAUUCUGUGUAUCUACAGAAAAUAAAAACCUGAAGUUCAAACUAUGAGAAGGACAGAUUUCAGUUCAAUAUAAGGAAAAACUAAAUGCUGGACAAAAAAGCUGUGAUUUCUUGUGACCAUUUGGUCACGGGCACAAUCUCUUCUUCCAUACCUGCCUAAUUGAAGACUGAAUCCCUUUCCUCUUCUGGAUUAAUUAUCUGAUAAGAAAUUCCUAACAUCUGAGGUGCCUGGGUGGCUCAGUCAGUUAAACGUCCAAUUCUUGAUUUCGGUUAAGGUCAUGAUCUCACAGUUUUGUGAGUUUGAGCCCCAUACUGGGCUCUGUGCUGACAGCGUGGAGCCUGCAUGAGAUUCUCUUCCUCUCUCUCUGCCCCUCCCCUGCUGGCACUCUCUCUGUCUUCCUCCAAAAUAAAUAAUAAAUUAAAAGUUAAAAAAAAAAUUCCUAACAUUAUAAUGCCAAUGUAAGUAAAAAGGCUGAAGCCAGGCAUAUCGCUCACUAACACAUUCAUCCAGAGACUCAUGGACAUUCCAAGAGACUUUUCCUAAGGCAGCUGUUCUGAAUUAGCAACAUGACUUCACUCACAUGUACUCAGCUUAAUGUAAUUGAAAUAUAAAUGCAUUUGAUGUAAAAAGAAAGGAAAAAAAAAGACUGAAAGCAAUGCUAGUAAAUACACAAAAUAGGAGAACAAUAAAAUUUUAAACUAAAGAAAAGUAGUUAGGUAAAAAAAAAAAAUUCCAGGGCAAAGAUGAUGGAAGGAGGGAGACACAGCCACUUGCACAGCAGCGGCAACAACUAUAAAAUGUAGGAAAUACAUCAGAGAUCAUAAAUGAAGGAAAGGUGGCGAUAAUGACAAAUAGCAUAUGAUAGUUCAGUUAGUAUAAUGUACCUAUAAUCAUCCUAAAUUAGUAAAUUCAUCCAUACUUGGGAAAUUUUAAGAUCAGUACAAUACCAAGAAAGUAUAAUGGACAAAAUUUAGGUUAUCAAUGGUAAUAUUAUAUUAUAAAAUGUUAGAGUAAAAGGACACUUUUUAAAAGUCAGAGUUAACCAUUCACCAAAUGAAAAGUAUUAUUUAACAAAAGUCACUAUUACGCCAGGCUAAUUAGACAGCAGGGUACUCCGGUAGAGACCAAAAUUGAUCAUGGAAUCUUCUAGGUUAGCACAUAUUUGUGAAGCUAUCACGGGACAUACAUAAAUUAUUAUGGGUAGAAAUCACCAAAUAGAAGGCAAUAAUAUGUAUACAGAGCAGAGAGUAUUCUUUCAAUAUGGCAGACUAACACACAUUAGGUAUCUGUGUUACGCAAAGCAUUGGAUAUCAUUUAUUAUCUUGAUUUUCAAAGUUUAAAAAAGUUGCUCCCUAUACAUUAUUUACUUUAAAAUGUAUUUAAUAAUUUGGCUGCUUUCCAUCUUGCUAGGCCUUAUUAAUAACAGGAUGCAAUGUUUUUAUACUCAGAGACCUAUAGGAUAAGAGUUGAAAAAAUAAUCAGCAACAAAGGAUAAGAUAUUCAAAGACCUGGAUUCCGUCCCAGCUAAGCCACUGAUAAACUGAGUGACCUCAGGCUCUCUGAGUCUGUUUUCUCACUGGCAAAUUAUAAUUGGAUUUGCUGUGCCUGUUUCAAAGAGCUGUUGUCCAAAUCGAGCAAAAUGGCACACAACUGCUCUCAGUAAAACAUGAAAAACUUUGGCACCUUUCCAUCUAUCCUUGAAAAAGAUUUUGAAGAUUUAUGGAUGUAUUUUCAUAAUCUACGUGAAAAGAACAAGAAAUACAACGGCCUCCGUCUUAGUUUUCACUAAAAGAGACUCAAGACUCUUUUUCUAGAAAUCUCAAUUGAAUGAAAGAUCUGAUUUAAAUUAUAUAUAUAAUAAAAUUUUGGGAAAAACCAUUUGACAAUUUUUUUUUUCAAAACUGUUUCAACGUACAAAAGCUCUUUCCAGCAGAUGGCAGCAUGCACAUUUUUGAGGGGGGUACAGGCUGCUACAUACACCUGGAGGUACUUAUUCACCAGUUGUUAUGUCUGCCUUUUCCUAUAUUUACACAUAAAUAAAAUCACUUCCUCAAAAUUAAAUACAAGUUUUAAAAUAUUCUAGCCUAAGGAAAACACUGAGUCAUUUGACUCUUGAAAGCAAAGAAAAAUACUGAAAACAUCUUUAUUUAGACUGUUUUUUCAAUGUCAUUAAAACACAUGCGAAACAGAGAAACUCCAAGAAUCUGACUACAGAUUAAUCACAAAUCUUAACAAUCAAUAAAUUAUACACCGAAUGAAAUAAAAACAUCUCACUGAAUGAACCACUUGAAUCUGUCAAGAUGAAGUAGAAUAUUUGUCAAGAAAGAAUUUUACAACUCUUAGUGACAAGGAAAGCAUUUUUUUCCUAAAAGCAACAUCAAAAACAAACAAAAACAACAGCUAAUAUUAUAUAGAGCUUUCCAGAUUCCAGACACUGCUUUAAAUGCUUUAUAUGAAUUCAAGUAAUCCUUGCAACAACUUCAGAGAUCUUAGUAUCUUCAUUUUGUACCUAAGAAGUUGCGACCCAGAGGGAUGCCUGGGCGGCUCAGUCGGUUAAGCGUCCGACUUCAGCUCAGGUCACAAUCUCGCGGUCUGUGAGUUCGAGCCCCGAGUUGGGCUCUGGGCUGAUGGCUUGGAGCCUGGAGCCUGCUUCCGAUUCUGUGUCUCCCUCUCUCUCUGCCCCUCCCCCGUUCAUGCUCUGUCUCUCUCUGUCUCAAAAAUAAAUAAACUUAAAAAAAAAAAAAAGCUGCUAAAGAAGUUGUGACCCAGAGAAGUAAUGUGCUCAAGGUCACAUAGUUAACGGACACAGCAAAGGAUGAAAACCUAGACAGUCUGACUCCAGAGUCAGUGGAUUUCACCAUAUUGCUAUACUUCCUGUAGACCACAGGUCAAUCCCUAUGCACAAAACAGAUAGUUUUAGAAUAAUCAAUAGUGAUUUGCUCUCCCUGAAUUUAAGAACCUGGUGUAUAAGCAUACUGAGAAAGAGGUCUUAAUAACUUUACCUCCUUUUCAUAAAAUUCCUCCAUGUAGACUUUAAAGAAAUGAGGAAUUGGACUCUGAGCUUAUUAUAAAUAAGGAUUUCUUGAUGAUCAACAUACUGGCAUUCUAAAAAAAUACUGGGGAAAAUUGAUGCUAGAGCAGAUCACUGGAAAAAGUAAAUGAGGAAAGAAAAGAUAGGACUGAAAUUUAUAACCAGUCUUUUGGGUUGUAAGAAAGGCAUUAAGCAUAAAUAUUCUAAGAAGUCACAUAUUUGACACAACAUAAUGCAAAUACAUGUAAAUUGGAAUAUCCUUUUACCAUGUGAACCAAUCUGUAGAGUGUGUGUAGAGUUUCUGUGAGGUGUUCAGGGUUGAGCCCAGAGUUUUUAUUAAAUUACCUGAAAGAAGGGGUCAAUGGAACAUUAAUUCCAUUUUCAGAUGACCUUAAAUUAGAAGGGGUUGCCAAUGAUGUGGCGGGGGUGGGGGCGGGGGAGGGAACCAAAGGUAAAAUCAACUCAAGUAUUCUUUUCCUUGAAAGGAAAAUUCCUUCCAGGUUUGUUCCCGGACAGGACAAUUUCUCCCAGGACAUUUCCCUGGCAGGACAAUCUGACCUGCUUUGUCUGACUAGCUGAUGAACAGCUUUGUCUGGCUUCAACAAAGCAACACUCAUUUUUCUUUCAGAUGGGUGGAUCAGGUGGGAGAGACAGACAGUAUAGCUGAGUGGUUAAGAGUGUGGGCUCUGCAGGGGCACCUGGGUGGGUCAGUCGGUUAAGCAUCUGACUUCAGCCCAGGUCAUGAUCCCAGACUUUGUAGGUUCAAGCCCUGCAUUGGGCUCUGAGCUGACAGGGUGGAGCCUGGAGCCUGCUUCAGAUUAUUUCCCUCUCACUCUCUCUCUGCCCCUCCCAUGCUUGCACUCUGUCUCUCUGUCUUCCAAAAGUAAAUAAACACACACACACACACACACACACACACACACACACAAAAAAAAAAAAAGAGUGUGGCCUCUGCAGCCAGACUGCCUGAGUUUGAUCUUAGCUAUGUGAACUUGGGCACAUUAUUUGUCUCUGUGCUUCAGUUUUCUUAUCUGUAAAAUGGGAGAAUUAUAGUACUGCCCUUAUAGGAUUGUUGAGAGGAAUAAAUGAGCUCAGAGAUGCACAGUGCUCAAGAAUGGUGGCCCUUGCAAAUGUAAAAACAAAAAGUUGUUAGCCAUCAUUAAUAUUAUUCAUACAGAAGAAAAUAAAUGAGACCUAAGUAUGAUUUUUAAAAAGAAAUGGAGACUUGGUUUACUGAAGGCAAACUGAAGGUUAAUGACAAGAUAGUCUGGGUAAUUUGGGUUGGACAUAAAAAUAUUCUGAAAAGAACUGGGAAGGGGAACCCUAGGUGGCUCAGUGGGUUAAGCGUCUGACUUCGGCUCAGGUCAUGAUCUCAUGGUUUGUGAGUUUAAGCCCCACGUGGGGCUCUGUGCUGACAGCUCAGAGCAUGGAGUCUGCUUCAGAUUCUGUGUCUCCCUCCCUCUCUGCCCCUCCUUUGCUCACAAUCUCUCUCUCUCAAAACUAAAUAAACAUCAAAAAAAAAUUUUUUUAAAGAACUGAGAAGAAAUAGUACUCUAUCCACAACUCAUUUCUUGUAGAGCUAAAGUUCCAAACACAUAUCUACUUGGAUUCUCAUCCCAUACUCUAUAUUCCUUUUACUCAGGGUAGGUGGCUGACUUCCACCUUGCCAACUCUUCUUUUCCUACCUCCAAUCUCAGACUAAUAAGGACCAUUUUUUAUUAGCAGUCUUAUCAAAUAUUUACUGAACAGUUACCAUGUGCCCUAUUGUCCUUGGGGCAGGAAACAGAAUAGUAACUGAGUUUGAGUCUCUGUUCUUUAUCGUGAAUAUGUUCUAACAGGUAAAAUAGGCUAUAUACAUGGACAAAAAUCAAUAAAUACAAAAAAAAAAAAAAAACAUGCAGACAAGGUCAUACCAGAUAGGAAAUAGGUGCUCUGAAGAACAUAAAUAAAUCUGAGUGAUGAGAUAUAGGACCAGAGGGAGAGGAAGAAGUUACCUAAGACUGGGUAGUCAGAGCAGGGAGACCCAUGGACGAAAAGGCAAGUGCACAAAGCUCAACCCACAUUAUUGCAAAAGCUCAAACAUCUUUAUCACCACUGCAAAGGAGACAUCUUUAUCACUACUUUAGAAAGAGACUGAGACCCACAGAAGUUAUAUAGAAUUUCCCCCCAAAAAAGGUUAGCACAACUAAGAUUCAAAUAAAUCUAUGUGAUGCUGAUGCCUAUUCUUUUUUCCCAACUGCCUUGCUUGCCUUUUGCUUUCUGUCACAGUGAAAGUGUGCUCAAUCUCUAGAUUCUUCUGCUCCAAACAACCUGAUCCAAAAAAUCAACUCUAUUUCCCAUAUUCAAUCUCUCCCUUUCUUGAAGUUCCUUUUCCUCUUUUAUUAAGAUUCUCAAUUCUCCCUCUUCAUGAAAAAAUAACCCAUCUACAAUGCUCGAUAGCAUUUAGCACUGCUUAGCACUGUGUUCUUCAAUGAUACUAUUCUGUUUCUUUGUUGAUAUAAGCUCCCUUUUCUCUGCCUAGCUCACACGUGUCAGCAUGCCUCAAAGUUUUGUCUUCAACCCUCACCUCUUCUCACCUGUCCUUUCUGCAAUAUUCAUCCACUGCUGUUUCUUCAAUCAAUACCUAUAGGCUGAUGAACUCCAAAUGUUUGUAUCUGUAACACUAAUUCAUCUCUCUCAUGCCCCAGAGCCAUCUGUUCAACUCUAGUAACAGACCCAUCUAUUGGGAAGAUACCUAUAUGUGUCAAAGUAUACUUGUCUUCUCCCCAAAGUCUGUUCUUUUCUCAAUAUUUUACAUAGUUGAAGACUGAACCAUCCUUUACUCCCUCCUCUUCUAUAAAUACUAGUCAAUCUAUUACCCAGUCCCAUAGACAUCUGUCAAGUCUAUCUCUUUCCAUCCACUGCGAGCUGCUCAGUAUUCAUCCUGCUUGGUUGAACUGCUGCAAUAACCUGUUAAAACUUUUGCAAAUGUUUGCAUUUGGGUGAUUUGGGCCCAUUUCAGUAGUUCUCCAGAAGGGCCAAUUAUAAGGGUCAGAUGGUUGUUUUCAAUAAGCACGAGUCUGUCCUUU